AGUGAACGCUGGCGGUAGGCCUAACACAUGCAAGUCGAACGGCAGCACAGUAAGAGCUUGCUCUUACGGGUGGCGAGUGGCGGACGGGUGAGGAAUACAUCGGAAUCUACUUUUUCGUGGGGGAUAACGUAGGGAAACUUACGCUAAUACCGCAUACGACCUACGGGUGAAAGCAGGGGAUCUUCGGACCUUGCGCGAUUGAAUGAGCCGAUGUCGGAUUAGCUAGUUGGCGGGGUAAAGGCCCACCAAGGCGACGAUCCGUAGCUGGUCUGAGAGGAUGAUCGGCCACACGGGAACUGGACCACGGUCCAGACUCCUACGGGAGGCAGCAGUGGGGAAUAUUGGACAAUGGGGGCAAGCCUGAUCCAGCCAUACCGAGUGGGUGAAGAAGGCCUUGGGGUUGUAAAGCCCUUUUGUUGGGAAAGAAAAGCAGCAGGUUAAUACCCCGCUGUUCUGACGGUACCCAAAGAAUAAGCACCGGCUAACUACGUG
rnacentral:rRNA from 1 species